rnacentral:rRNA from 1 species
GACGGAGGGUGCUAGCGUUGUUCGGAAUUACUGGGCGUAAAGGGCGCGUAGGCGGCUGCUCAAGUCGGGUGUGAAAGCCCGGGGCUCAACCCCGGAACGGCACCCGAGACUGGGCGGCUCGAGACCGGGAGAGGUGGGUGGAAUACCCAGUGUAGAGGUGAAAUUCGUAGAUAUUGGGUGGAACACCGGUGGCGAAAGCGGCUCACUGGCCCGGUUCUGACGCUGAGGCGCGAAAGCGUGGGGAGCAAACAGGAUUAGAUACCCUGGUAGUCCACGCCCUAAACGAUGCGAGCUGGAUGUCGGGGGGCUUGCCCCUCGGUGUCGGAGCUAACGUGUUAAGCUCGCCGCCUGGGGAGUACGGCCGCAAGGUUAAA